GAUGAACGCUGGCGGCGUGCUUAACACAUGCAAGUCGAACGGUGAACCCGGAGCUUUCUCUGUCUGAUCAUUGGCGAACGGGUGAGUAACACGUGAGCAACCUGCCCCUGACUCUGGGGUAAGCGCUGGGAACGGCGGCGAAUACUGGAGAUGUGACGUUAUCGCGUGGUCUGCGUCUGUGAAGAAUGUCGGUUGGGGAUGGUUUCGCUGCCUAUCAGCUGCUUGGGGAGGUAGUCGCGGACCAAGGCGUCGACGGGUAGCCGGCCUGGGAGGGUGAACGGCCACCAGGGGCCUGCGACAGGGCCCAGACGCCUACGGGCGGCAGCAGUGGGGAAUCUUGCACAAUGGGCGCAAGCCUGAUGCAGAAACGCCGCGUGCGGGAUGCCGGCCUACGGGUUGUAAACCUCUUUUAGAAGGGAAGAAGCGAACGUGACGGUACCUGCAGAAAAAGCCACGGCUAACUACGUG
rnacentral:rRNA from 1 species